rnacentral:rRNA from 1 species
UACGGGGGGAGCAAGCGUUGUUCGGAUUUACUGGGCGUAAAGGGCGCGUAGGCGGUCAGCACAAGUCAGUUGUGAAAUCUCCGGGCUUAACUCGGAAAGGUCAACUGAUACUGUGCGACUAGAGUGCAGAAGGGGCAACUGGAAUUCUCGGUGUAGCGGUGAAAUGCGCAGAUAUCAGGAGGAACACCGGUGGCGAAGGCGGGUCUCUGGGCCGUAACUGACGCUGAGGAGCGAAGCGUGGGGAUCAAACAGG